UUUUUCUUUUGUUCUUUUUUUUUUCCGGAGCUGGGGACCGAACCCAGGGCCUUGCGCAUGCUAGGCAAGCGCUCUACCGCUGAGCUAAAUCCCCAACCAUAUGAAACUCUCAAUAAACAAAAAUAUUUUUCAGAACCUUACACAAUCAACAGACUUUUGCUAAAUAGCUGUGGUCUACAACACAAUGACUUCUAAAACCAUGGAAUCUAAGCCGCUGUCACAAUGGUGAAGCCAACAGGUGAGUAACUAAGUAACUAUGGUCCGUACACACUUCAGGCCUCAGCUUUCUUCCAAUGCAAAUAAAGGUGCAUGCGAUACAGCUGGGUAGCCAUUCCUCACUAAGCUUAAAUCACUUUAGGUACUGGGUAAAGUAGUCUUUUGCUGGGGGAUAAUGGACCCAGGACUGGUACCCCCUGAAGAUGGAUGUGGGUGCUCUGAGGGGAAGCUGAAUGUUGAUGUGACAACUUGGAAAUUGAGAGAAGAGACUGACAGGCAAACUUUACCUGCAUCACUGAGCCUUAGCAUCAACUUACGACAUUUUAAAGAUAGUAUUGUAUUUACAUUAUCUUUAAUUCUCUUUUUUUCAGGGUCCUACACACACACACACACACACACACACACACACACACACACACACACACACACAGCAAGGGGGAUGACCUCUUAAAGACAGUCAACAGCUUUAAGGAUGGUUACCUCUACAAGAUAUGGGGAUAAAGCCAAACUCACGCCUUAGGAACCUGACUGCUACUUCUGUAUUAGCGAUU
rnacentral:lncRNA from 1 species